GUAUGGAAGGCAAGUUGGUAUGGCAUUUGACUACCAACCUGAAGAUUGUGGGUUCAAUUCCCACCAUUUGCACA